UACUUGGUAGUUCAGUUCCUACAUGGAAUAUCUAAUCCUGUUUAAGCUUGUUUUUCUCCUCAGAAGAAGAAAAUCCUCUUGCUAGCCUUCUUCUAUGAGUUGCAGCCUUGAGGGCCUUUCACCCCAUUCAUACCAUCUCUUUUCUUUCAGUCAGAUUCAACCACCCAUUAAUCCUUCUACAGCUAUUUUAUUAUAUGCAUUUAGUAAGUUGCUUGCUUUUCAGUUUGUGUUCAAGGUAAUGCAUGAUUUAUAUCUAAGUGUGGCUUCGAUGUGAGUUUAGUUGGCUGAGUAGAUAUGCAGCCUAACAUGGAUUGAAGCCAGAACAUCAAAUCUUUGGCUGCCUCCACCAUGGACUGUGGAUCAGGUCCCUAACAUUAUUUCCAGUUCUUUUCUGGGUUCUCAGGACAAAUUGAGCAUAGUGCUCACAGUGCUUCUUCAUUUAGACUAGCAAAAUAUCUGUCCUAGUGAUGGGUGAGGCGGAUGGAGAGGGAAGAUCUGUAUAUUGCAAUGUCUCCUGUGCAGGACAGAAUGCAUUUCUUGUGGGGUGAUUAGGGAGGCAGGAGAGGAUAUAUUAUUUAAUGAUAUCUUUCCUAACUUGCGCUAGCAAGUUCCAUAUUCUAGCAGAGUUCCAAACAGCCCCCUUUUUAAAUUACGCAGCAAUCAGCUUGUUGCUGACUCAUCUGAGUCUUACUAUUAAAGAUUCCUUCCUGGUAAAAUCCCUUCUAAUCCCCCUUAAAAAGAAUAAAUAAAAGAAUCUGAUUAACGUGAAUAUAAAAGUAGUUCACUCACAGAUUCAUUCAGGUUCACAGACAUAUCCCUGAAGGCAGGCUUGGGUUACAUAACAACUGGAACUAGUCCAUAAAGAAGUUAGCCCCAAGUGACUGCGACUAAGCAGUCACUUCUCCAAACACACAGCAACGUACACAAUGGAGAAGACACGCUGAUCCGAACAUGGAGGCCAUGUGCUCCUCCAUGCUAGUACAACAGACCACACCCUCUUCAAGUCUGUCCCAGCUCAGGAGGAAACAGGAAGUCCUCUCCUGAGUGGUACAUGUCCACUGUAGGAAUGUUGUACUUCACAGCAGUUUUACACCCCACAUUUCUUUGGGAGGUUCACUUGCAGUAUCCUAGUGCUACAUUCAGUGGCACAUUCACAGUUAAACCCAAGCUAUGGCUUACUGUAAUAUGCAAACCAAGCCAUUGUUCCCAGGUGCAGUAUUUUAUCCCCCCGCCCUCUCCACAGAAGUGGGUAGCAACUAUUGAUCUUUCUGAGGGAAAUUAAACAGCUGCACUUGGGAUCACCAAAUAGUGGAGUCUAAACCCUCUCCCUGCCCCAAUAACCCCAGCCAUUGAGGGGAGAAAUCUAGCCCUAUAGUCCCAUGCUAGGCACUGUCUCUCGCUUGUGCUCCAGGGGGACAUGGGAAUGCCUUCCAAAUACCUAAUGCCAGAGCAGCACAAUGUUUCGUUCUGUCUGGCGUUUGAGCUUCCAGCUCUCAAUGUAAGAGGCUGCAUGAUCUUGGGAUGGUCACAUUUUACAUAACUAACUGUUCCAACUUCACCAUCUGUCUUUGCUCAGAUUUGGAGGGUAAAGAUUACUGUUAGUGCUGAUUUACUUUAUUGUUGUUCUUUUAAACUAAACUAGAAUAUCAACCUGCCCCCCCCCUUUUCAUGAAAAUCCUGACAUACACUUAACUUAAUUCUUAUCCUUACCCAACAUUCUGUUCAGGAGAAGGGUUGGAAGGGAAUCAAGUACUUCAGUCUCAGAAGGUAAGUGAGUCUGAUGCUUCCCAGAACUUGGAUGGGAGUCUGGGUGAAGCCCAUAAAGAUUUUUCUUCAAGAAAGGAUGGACAAGGGGAUUAUAAAACAGAGAAGCAUGUGUAGAAGAAAUAACUUUCUCUUUCUCAUAAAACAUCUAAUGUAAUUGAUUGGCAAGAGAAUCAUGUCAAACAAAAUACUUUUCUCAAUCAAGAAAUGCGCAGUGCACGUGAGGAACCCAUUGUCACGAGGCAAUUGAGUCAUGAGGCUGCAACGGAUUAGCACAGCCACCUCCAACCUUGAGCCUCCCCGGAUGUCUUCAGCUGCAAUUCCCACCUUCCACAGCCAGCACAGCAAUGGCAAAUGAAUGUGAGAAAUUAAUGGAAUACACUCUCUUGGAUUAGACAAAUGCAUGGCAGGUACUCAAUAGAUGGCUGCUAGCCAUGGUUGCUAAACUGGAACCUUCAUUUUGAAAGGGAGUAUGCCUCUUAUCACCGAAUGCUCAGGCUUGGCCAGACAAAUCCUAGAAGCACCUCAACAAUGAGCAAACCUGUUUGACUAGAGGCAAAUGUGGGGCAGCAAAAAUGAGUGUGUGCACCACAGGCAAAUACACCUCUUCCUUGUACUGUCUUCCCCUCUCUGCAAAAAGUUGCCCUCACUCUCCAAACUUCAAUCUCCACUCAAACUCCACCUGACAAACUAUAUCGUUUUCAUAUCAGAGUGUCUAAUUAGUAGCAGAGGAUUCUAAAACACACACACAAUAAUAAUCUAAGCGAAGGCUGCAAUUGUGCCACAGGAACAGUUAAAGAUCAGCCUUCAGAACAUUUGAAAAUUCUUGUCUCUGGGAUUUCCACGGUGAUACAAUCUAAUACAUUUUGGAGAAGGGGGAACUGUGUUCUGUUUUGCUGAGAUAUCCACUUUAUCUCCUGAUUUUAUAAUAUUCAUGAAUCUUAACCAGUUCCUCAAACAACCCUGAAAACUGAGUGUUCUUCACACUUUGCUCCUUUUCAUGAAAGGGCUGAAGCUGCAGUCAGCAAGUGGCUCUGCCUGUUCCUAGGAUUAAAGCAGGGCUUGGCCCAGGUCAGAAAACAUUCCCGCAGGUUGCCUUUUUCAAACAGAAGACUUUGUCUGCACUGCACAUUUCUAUUGCUUUUCUUAUCCAUUUUCUGUCAUGGUUCUUUCAGAGAAUAGCAAUCUGGUUACUGGUUAAAGACCUCCUGCUCCCCUCCGAAUGCUGAAGAUUGAUGUUAGACCAAUGUGAAUCUGUAGUGCACAUUAUUAAAUAUAGUAUAUUUAUAAAUAAAAUGGAACUAAUAGAGU